UUCAACUUGAUGCUGUAAGCAAUGGCUGUAGCAGACAGAUGAAAUGGGAGGAGUCAUGUUACAUGGUAUGACAGUGCAUAACUUUUAGAUUCUCAGAUUAUAUUGACCUCACUGCACUGACUAAGCAGUAUUUACCGAGAAUAACUGAAAAGGUAGUUAAGGAAAGAAGAAAAUUUGGAUUGAAGAUCAGCAUGGAGAAGACAAAUUAUGGCACUUGGAAAACAAAAGAAAGAGGUAACGAUCAAACUCAGAGACAAAGAACUACAACAAGUGGGAAAAAAUUGUUUACCCUUGGAGGACUAGUAUUAAAGAAUGGGAAUUGUGAAGACAAAAAAAGAACAAUCAAUCAGACUUGCUGCUACUGCAUUUGGAAAACUCUGAAAUACCUGAAAGGUGCAAGACAUUUAGAUAAAAACAAAAAUCAGUGUAUAUGAAACAACAGUCUUGGAAGUACUGCUAUGUAGGUCGGAAUGAGGGAGUAGGAGGAAAGCUGAUGAAUGUAAGAUUUUGACUGCAGAAAUGAACUGGCUGAUAGGAAUACUGAGAGUUCCAAGACUGCAGAAAAUUAAAAAUGAAGAGAUAAGAAAAUGGUUAGGGCAAGAAAUAAUGCUGUUCCAGAAGAUUCAAGGAAGACAACUUCAAUGGUUUGGACACAUGGCAAGAAUGGACUUGGAAAAGAUACCAUACAUGGCGAUACAUACCAGACUCCAAGCAACUAGAAAUGGAGGAAGACCGAGGAUGUGUUGGACAGACACAGUCAAGAAUGACAGAACAAAAAGGUUAAAGAUGAACAAAGCUGUGAAGCUGGUACAAGAUAGAAAGAGUUGUCAGAUUUCAUUCAGUCUGAUCAUCGCUAUUGAGCUGAUGGAUGGGAAUCAAAGAAAAGAGAAGAUAAGUGCUAAACUAAAAUAUGUAAAUGGGAAUUAUGCAAUUAAUUUAUUCAUAAAACGUAUGUGCCCCCUAGUUUAGGGACUAUUGUGGUUUGUGCACCUGUCAAAAGGAAAAUGAAGUGUUAAGUAUUCCUAUAAAGUGACAGACUACUGUGGGAAGAGAUGUUCUUUUCACCAAACAGGGAACACAUGACAGUAGCUGUGGAGACAUUCUUUACGUACUGCCUCACCAAUAUGCCUCAUUUUUCACCAAGAAGAGUCACCUUUUAGAGCGGAAAGGGUAUUCCAGUUUGAUCACUGAUAAAAUCUGGCACAUUGUAAGACUGACAGUUAAUGCCACUUCCAAUAUGGAGUUAUGUCCACUAGGAACUGGACUGAGACUAUUGGAAACCUUGGUGAAAACAGUUAGACAUUAAAUGGUGAUAAAGUCCAGACACUACCAACUGAGAAUGGAUUUAAACAUUUCAGAGAAAAAUCCAAUUACAAAAAGGGGUCAUCGUCUCUAGCAAACCCUAUUUUCAUAAUUUAUAAUGUUUUAACUAAAAUAUGAAUAUUU